UGCUGGUGUCAAUCUUUCUCUCCUCCUCUGUCUCCCUUCCUCUCUCGAUUUCUCUCUGUCCUAUCCAACAACAGUGACAUCAAUGGCAACAAUAACAGUAACAACAACAAGGGCAACAAAAUGGGGAAAAAAGUGGCUUCCAGGAGCACUGGAUUUGUAGUGCAGGCACCGAGCCCCAGUGAUAAUCCUGGAGGCAAAAUAAAAUAAAAUAAAAUAAAACUCCCUCCUUCGGGAUACUCCUCUGUCUCCCAGGCCCCAGAGAAUAUCACUUGCCCCCCAGCUUGGGCUCUCUCUCCCUCCCUCUCUCCCUUAAUCAUCUCUAUUUAUUUAUUAGAUAGACAACCUUAAAUUGAGAGGAAGCAGGAGAUAGAGAGGGAGAGAGACAGAGAGACACCUGCAGCCCUGCCUCACAAAGCUUUCCCCCUGCAGGUGGGGACCAGGGGCUUGAACUGGGGUCCUUAUGCACUGUGACAUGUGCCAUCGGUCCGGCUGGUGUCUCUUUCACGAGACUUGGAGCAUUUCUCAAGUCUGACAAUACAUGGAAAGUGCUUAAGCAAUGCUGGCUGGGUGAAAGGUAGCCCCUUCCCCAUUAUAGUCUGAGGAGGGGAUAAAGCUUUUUUUUUUUUUUUUUUUUAAACAGAGGGCAUCAGAAGUCUGGACUGGCCACCCUAAUGAGCCUUUGUUGACACCUCCUCCUGCCUCCUGAAAGUCUCAAAGGGCAAAAGUCUUGGUCUGUGUUUGACACCUGGAGUUCUGUGCACAGCUGGUACCCCAUGUGUGCUUGAAGCACUUAGAACAAGAAACCACUCCACUUGGAGCAGCAUAUGGGAGAGUGGAGAGAGCCCGGGACUAGGAGGCACUAGUCCAGCCCAUGCCGACUCCAUGCGCCUGGAGAACCCAAGGUGCAGAGAAAAGUCUCUCAAGAUCUCAUACCUGGAAGACUCCAGUUUCUGAGCCCUAAGAUGUCAAGGAAAUAAUUUUUGACAGAUACCCAACAGCAUUAUGGUCAAGCACAGCCGGACU